UACGUAGGGUGCAAGCGUUGUCCGGAAUUAUUGGGCGUAAAGAGCUCGUAGGCGGUUUGUCGCGUCUGCUGUGAAAACCCGAGGCUCAACCUCGGGCCUGCAGUGGGUACGGGCAGACUAGAGUGCGGUAGGGGAGAUUGGAAUUCCUGGUGUAGCGGUGGAAUGCGCAGAUAUCAGGAGGAACACCGAUGGCGAAGGCAGAUCUCUGGGCCGUAACUGACGCUGAGGUGCGAAAGCGUGGGGAGCGAACAGG
rnacentral:rRNA from 1 species